rnacentral:lncRNA from 10 species
CAACAUGAUGGUGGGGAGACAAAUGAGAGCUUUCACUGCUGGAUAUGGGCACUAGAGAGCAAAGGGCUCUGAAAAACCUCCUCCAGCCCAGAAACAGUUGAAGUCGUGGAACCUGCAAAGGACUGUUUUUUCAAACUACUAGCUUCGAUAAGGAAAAAUUCUCUGUCCAACUCGUCCUCUCCAGCUCAUAAACACAGCUCAUCUGAAAGCUGUGGAUUGUCUGCUAGACGGCUGAACUCCGAUUAGAGCAGCUUUCCUUCCGAAGCCAGGAGCAUCUGCUUCUGAAAGUGCCCCUUUGCUCCCGUCUCUCCCAGAGUGCCCCCUCUUCAGAAAGUCCCACUUCGACACAACCAGGGCCUGGGAACAGGGAAUAUUCCUGAACUCGGCGUGUCUUCGCCAAGCAGUGUCGCCAGUUCAGCUCUCUGAAAUGCUGCUUUCCGAUGAGAAAACAGACGGGACUCAGUGUCGCCGGCGAUUUACAUUUCCCUCAAAAGCUCUAUGUUCCUGCAACAUUGUUCCCCGAGCCCACCGUAAGUGACAGCAGGAAAAAAAAACAAUGGGAGUAAGCGAAGAAUAAAGGUAAAGGUUCAAGACCAACAGAGAGAAGGAACUAAGGCUUGCCACGGGGCACAUUAAAAAUGAAGAAUAAAACAGAAAGACAUCUGCCCCCUCUGCUGCCCAGCACGGCUGAGCCAUUUCCAGCAGUGACUUCAUCAGUGACCAGCCCAAACUGGAGAAUGUGAAAGUCAUCUUUCAUAGAGAUAGGACAAAAAUACUGAUCACACACAGCCUUCUCACAACUGUGAUGGAGGAAGAACAAACCCCAAUGAGAGGAAACUGCAGGCAAUCCAUGUGCUUGGUUGAAAAUACAGUUUGCUUUGUGUUUUCUAAUGGACAUUACUGCAAUGAGGGAAAUAGCAUGUUUGUUUUUACAGGCUUUUAGAAAAUACAGAAAUGACAAAGUUCAUCUACAAGCCAGAUGCUCGGCACAAACCAGAAAGAGCUCAAUCUACUAAAACUAGGAUGCCACAACUUUGGGGUCAAAAAUUGUAAUUAUAAUUUAGCAUGGAUAUGUAUGGUGACUGUUGGGAAUGGUAGUGAGAAUUAGGUUUUUUUUUUCCUAUGGCCUUACACUUGGGAAUAGUUUAUAGUGAAUCUUCAUAUCUUCUACCACAAAGUAUUACUGUUUUGUCCGUAGUAAGUUUGGUUAUAAUGAACUUUUAAAACCCAGAAGAAAGUUUAAAAACUCAAACCAGAAACACAAACAGGAUCAGAUGCCAAAAGCGUGAGUGGACAGAAAUGAACUUAGUUCAUAAAGCAAGUAAAGUCUAACUUUUAGUCUGAAUGAAAUAUUGAGUUUGGACAACGGGAUACUGCAAAACUGAGAAAUCUGAGAGAAGUGGAAUGCUCUAAUAGGAAAAAACAAAAAACUGGCCAAGACUAGGAGAAGGCAUUCCAAAAAAAGAAGCAGAGAUGGCUAAUAAUAUAAAACAACGCUCAAUCUCAGGAUUAAAAAAACAAAAAUGUAGAAGUGAAAGAAUGCUCACCUACAAAAUGCAUAUCUGAAAAACAUUCUCAAUAUUGUUAAGGAUUUGAGGGAAAUGAACUCAAAUCUUAAAAGGAAAUUGAAAAAACGUGCACAAAAAUCCUUAAACAUUAUGACUGAUAGAAAGUUAUCUUGGCCAAAUACUAAAACAAGUAAUAUAUUUACAUACAAAAGAGUUCACUGUGUGGUUUUAAAUAUCACACAGUGAUAUUUAAAUAUUAAAAAUAGAAAUAUAAUUAUUAAAAUAUAAGAAAAUGGCUAAGAAAAUUAUGGUAUAUACAUAAAUCAUGUUUUAGAAAAAUAUUCACUGACAUGGGAAAGGGCUUGUAACAUGCUUGCUUAAUGAAAAAAAUAGGUUGUAAAACAGUAUAGUUAAUACAGGGUGAUCUUAAUUAUGUGUGAAGCAUCUACGUGAAAAUGUUAACAGCAGUUGUUAUAAGCCCUAGGAUUACAGGUGAUUUUUUCUUAAUUUUCCCCCUUUAUUCCUUCUUUAUUUUUUCAAAAUUUUCAAAAUGAAAAUUUAUGUAUUUUGAAAUUUUAUUGUAGAGUAUUAUAUUAAAAAGUACACACAUGGGGCAGGGCGCGGUGGCUCACGCCUGUAAUCCCAGCACUUUGGGAGGCCGAGGAGGGCGGAUCACGAGAUCAGAAGAUUGAGACCAC